rnacentral:rRNA from 1 species
GACGAACGCUGGCGGUGUGCUUAACACAUGCAAGUCGAACGGUAAGGCCCUUUCGGGGGUACACGAGUGGCGAACGGGUGAGUAACACGUGAGUAACCUGCCCUCAUCUCUGGGAUAACAGUCGGAAACGGUUGCUAAUACUGGAUAUGAGCUUGCAAGGCAUCUUGUGGGUUGGAAAGAUUUUUUUUGGUUGGGGAUGGACUCGCGGCCUAUCAGCUUGUUGGUGAGGUAGUGGCUCACCAAGGAUUCGACGGGUAGCCGGCCUGAGAGGGCGACCGGCCACAUUGGGACUGAGAUACGGCCCAAACUCCUACGGGAGGCAGCAGUGGGGAAUAUUGCACAAUGGACGGAAGUCUGAUGCAGCAACGCCGCGUGCGGGAUGACGGCCUUCGGGUUGUAAACCGCUUUCAAUUGUGACGAAGCUUUUUUGUGACGGUAGCAGUAGAAGAAGCACCGGCUAACUACGUG